rnacentral:sRNA from 1 species
GAACCCAGGGCCUUGCACUUCCUAGGCAAGCGCUAUACCACUGAGCUAAAUCCCCAACGACAAGGUUGUCUUUUGUUCUAAAUAUUGGAUAAAUAAUAUGGAAAUCUAUGGUAGGGAGAAGAAUAUUAGCCAUCUAGGAGAAAGAAAAGGAAUCAUAUUCUGGGUGAGCAGGUCUGGAAAUGAAGGCAUCUUUUACCAGGAGUUUAAUAAUGGGAAAGUCAGGAAAUGAGGAGAGGUGCGGGGUAGUUACAUGGAUAGAGGUAGUGCAGAGGUGCGGGGUAUUAGAGGAUAGAGGUAGUGCAGAGGUGCGGGGUAGUUACAUGGAUAGAGGUAGUGCAGAGGUGCGGGGUAUUAGAGGAUAGAGGUAGUGCAGAGGUGCGGGGUAGUUACAUGGAUAGAGGUAGUGCAGAGGUGCGGGGUGUUAGAGGAUAGAGGUAGUGCAGAGGUGCGGGGUAUUAGAGGAUAGAGGUAGUGCAGAGGUGCGGGGUAGUUAGAGGAUAGAGGUAGUGCAGAGGUGCGGGGUAUUAGAGGAUAGAGGUAGUGCAGAGGUGCGGGGUAGUUACAUGGAUAGAGGUAGUGCAGAGGUGCGGGGUAUUAGAGGAUAGAGGUAGUGCAGAGGUGCGGGGUAUUAGAGGAUAGAGGUAGUGCAGAGGUGGGGGGUUGUUAGAGGAUAGAGGUAGUGCAGAGGUGCGGGGUAGUUACAUGGAUAGAGGUAGUGCAGAGGUGCGGGGUAGUUACAUGGAUAGAGGUAGUGCAGAGGUGCGGGGUAGUUAGAGGAUAGAGGUAGUGUAGAGGUGCGGGGUAUUAGAGGAUAGAGGUAGUGCAGAGGUGCGGGGUAGUUACAUGGAUAGAGGUAGUGCAGAGGUGCGGGGUAUUAGAGGAUAGAGGUAGUGCAGAGGUGCGGGGUAUUAGAGGAUAGAGGUAGUGCAGAGGUGCGGGGUAGUUGGAGGAUAGAGGUAGUGCAGAGGUGCGGGGUAGUUACAUGGAUAGAGGUAGUGCAGAGGUGCGGUGUUAGAGGAUAGAGGUAGUGCAGAGGUGGGGGUAGUUACAUGGAUAGAGGUAGUGCAGAGAUGCGGGGUGUUAGAGGAUAGAGGUAGUGCAGAGGUGCGGGGUAUUAGAGGAUAGAGGUAGUGCAGAGGUGGGGGGUUGUUAGAGGAUAGAGGUAGUGCAGAGGUGCGGGGUAGUUACAUGGAUAGAGGUAGUGCAGAGGUGCGGGGUAUUAGAGGAUAGAGGUAGUGCAGAGGUGCGGGGUAUUAGAGGAUAGAGGUAGUGCAGAGGUGCGGGGUAGUUACAUGGAUAGAGGUAGUGCAGAGGUGCGGGGUAUUAGAGGAUAGAGGUAGUGCAGAGGUGCGGGGUAGUUGGAGGAUAGAGGUAAUGCAGAGGUGCGGGGUAGUUACAUGGAUAGAGGUAGUGUAGAGGUGCGGGGUAUUAGAGGAUAGAGGUAGUGCAGAGGUGCGGGGUAGUUACAUGGAUAGAGGUAGUGCAGAGGUGCGGGGUAUUAGAGGAUAGAGGUAGUGCAGAGGUGCGGGGUAGUUACAUGGAUAGAGGUAGUGCAGAGGUGCGGUGUUAGAGGAUAGAGGUAGUGCAGAGGUGCGGGGUAUUAGAGGAUAGAGGUAGUGCAGAGGUGCGGUGUUAGAGGAUAGAGGUAGUGCAGAGGUGCGGGGUGUUAGAGGAUAGAGGUAGUGCAGAGGUGCGGGGUAUUAGAGGAUAGAGGUAGUGCAGAGGUGGGGGGUAUUAGAGGAUAGAGGUAGUGCAGAGGUGGGGGGUAUUAGAGGAUAGAGGUAGUGCAGAGGUGCGGUGUUAGAGGAUAGAGGUAGUGCAGAGGUGCGGUGUUAGAGGAUAGAGGUAGUGCAGAGGUGGGGGGUAUUAGAGGAUAGAGGUAGUGCAGAGGUGGGGGGUUGUUAGAGGAUAGAGGUAGUGCAGAGGUGCGGGGUAGUUACAUGGAUAGAGGUAGUGCAGAGGUGCGGGGUAUUAGAGGAUAGAGGUAGUGCAGAGGUGCGGGGUAGUUGGAGGAUAGAGGUAGUGCAGAGGUGCGGGGUAGUUACAUGGAUAGAGGUAGUGCAGAGGUGCGGGGUGUUAGAGGAUAGAGGUAGUGCAGAGGUGCAGUGUUAGAGGAUAGAGGUAGUGCAGAGGUGCGGGGUAUUAGAGGAUAGAGGUAGUGCAGAGGUGCGGGGUAUUAGAGGAUAGAGGUAGUGCAGAGGUGCGGGGUAGUUAGAGGAUAGAGGUAGUGGCAGCUUGCAGAAGUUCUUGCCAAGUUGUUUUGUUUUGUUUAUGUAAAGAAAAGCCAUCAGUUCAGGGUAAACAUAGCAUGGGGUUAGAUAUUUGAGUCAAAAAGAGAUAGUAUGCCAGACCUUUAAUCCCAGUACUGAGGAGGAAGAGACAGGUGGGUCUAAGACCAGAGAAUAAAGCUGAGUAAAAAGGAAAAUGAAAAGGUAAGACACCAAGAACAGUGAACUUGAGUUGCAGAUGUCUCAGAUGAUCCUGGACAGGACGUCAUCAUUGAUGGCAAAGUGUGUGCUCUAAAUGUGACACAGAGGCUGUACUGUGCACUUAAACUGGUGUUGGCUAUGCUUAAAUGAACCCUACAGGUAGAUCACAGGAGACUUUUUCUUGGUUUGUUCUGUCUCACCACUUCACUCUGAUAGUCUCAGACUGAUGCAGUCUAUCAUUAAGGUUUGGAGGGGUUGUUUUGUUUGGUGGGGGCUUGGAGUUUUUUUGUUGGUGGUGGUGGUGGUGACUUUUUGGCUUCAUUUGAUGACAUACCAGAUAAUACUUUUCCUUGUAUAAACCACAUUGACUGUGAUAUCCCAGCAUACAUGGCUCAGCAGAUAAAGCUACUAUCACCAAGCCUGAUGAGCUGAGUUCAGUCCCCAGGACUCACAUAGUAAGAGAAAAGAGCUAACUCUUGGAACUUGCUCUCUGACCUCCAUUGGAUGAGCCAUGGCACAGCUGCUCACAUACAUAGACACAUAAUAAAUUCAUAAGGGAAAUGUAAUUUUAAAAGAUGUGCUUUAUUAUUUUUAGUCAUGUGUGUAUAUGUAGGCCUGAGUGGGAGUAUGUGCAUGUGAGUGCAGGUGUUCUCAGUGGCCAGAGGCGUUGGAUAUCCCAAGAGCUGGAGUUGCUUGUAGUUUGAGCCACCAGACCUGGAUGCUGGAAAUUGAACUCAGGAAUAACACAUGUUCUUAACCACAGCCCACCUCUCCAGCCCCAAUUUAAAAGUAAAAGGUUUAAAUGGAUGCUCUGUAGAAGAAAUACAGUAUACAAAGACAAGAAGCACAGCCAUGGUUUUUAUAAACUUAUCCACAUCAUUUUAUAACUACAUAUGGCAGACUUUUCUCCCAAUGCUAAGAAUUCAACAUAGGCCUGGCAUUUGCCAAGGCAAGUCCUUUAUCACAGAGUUAAGUCCCGGCCCACACAACAUAUUUUGGGCAGUAAUUUAAGUGUAUUUUUUCCCCUAUAUUUGGGUGAGGUACUUUUGUCUGUAAAAGCAUGGUAAUAAUAGACAAAUAUUUCUGGCCAGCUAGAACUGUAGAGUAUGUAGAAAGCAGUAGUUCCUUCAGUCAAGUGUUUCUUCCUUUCACUCCAUUUACUGUUAUUGUAUGUGUGUGUGCACAUGAUGGGAGGAAUUCUAACCACAAAGCAUGUAUAUGGAGAUCAGAGGACAGCUUUGUUAAGUCAGUUCUCUCCAUCCAUCUUUCCUUGAGCUCCAGGGAUCAAGCUCAGGCCUAAGGGAAGCGCCUUUACCAGCUAAGCUAUCAGCAGCCCUCAGUUAAUUCUUCCAUUAGGUUCUAAGGAUAUUACCCGUGCAUCCCCCUAUAUCCCUCCUGUCAUGCUGCUCACCGUUUCCUUACGAUGCCCUUUCUGUGCCUUGGAAAUGAUCAUAAAUGGUUACAUAACAGACUGCUCCACGUUGUGGUGGACUACAAUGACGAGCUUUACCUCACAGCUUCUGUGGAACAGGGUGUUCCUGGCUCCAAUCUCGUGAGGUUGCUGUCAAGAUGUCACUAGGACUACAGUCACCUGAAGGCUGACUGGGCUUUAGAGUCCCCUUGUUACCUGUACACAUUGGCUCUUCUUUGGGGCUACUUGAAUGUCCUCAUGAUAUGGCAGCUUUCCCCAGAACAAGUGAUUCAAGAUAUAUUCUUUUAUGUUCUAAUAGCAAGAGCCAUUCCCAAUCAUUUCCCCAUAGUCUAGCUGCUAGAAGCAACUCAUUAAGUACAGCCUCACACUAGGAAUGGAGAUUGAACUCUACCAAAGGAGGAAGGACCAUGAUAAUUGUGGACAUUUUAAAUCAUCACAACUGGCUUUGCCAUGUUUUCCUGACUGGGGUGCUGUCAAGAACAAGAUAACAGGUUGUAUUCAAGUAUGUCUAAUUAGUCAAUAACUUAGUACUUGCAAACUUAUUCUUAGUGCUAGGUAACUCUUACCCCUCUUGCCAGGAUGUAGGUAAUGGUUAUUUAGGAACUAAACUGAGACAUUGUGAACAUUUGAACUAACUUAUCAGCAAAGGUCAUGUAUAGGAACAUAAAAUAAGUCAUGAUGUCUGUAUCUUUGAAGAAUUUAUAUUAGAGAAUCCAGACCAAAAACUGACUAAUAUAAGAGAAGAUGCUGACAGUGGUAAAUAAGAUGCCUUGGUUCCGUGGAAGGAAAAUCUACCCAAGACGUGAGAGGUCAGGGAGCCAGGGAAGUUUUCCAGGAGCAGUGACUCCGCCACAGAACUCAGGCACACAGCUUCGGGGCUGUGCAGGGGGUGCCUCACUGCUCUCGUUGCC